rnacentral:lncRNA from 1 species
AAGCAUAAUAUUGAAAUAUGAACACGUACCUCUUCAUCAAUCAUCAGCAUCUCAAGGCCGAGAAGAAUGCCUCAUUUGGAAUUGUUGUGAGCUUUCCAGAAAUAGAUUAGCUGAAAAAGCAACUGGGAAUCUCAAAGUCCUGAUGAAACAUUACUGAAGAAAAAUGGAGAGUGAACUUGGGUGGUGGUGACUGCCGUUUGAUUUGCCAUAAAGCUAGGAAUGGAUUUGAGGAUCUGAACAAUAGAUUUUUGGCUUGAGGAGGUAUCGUUAUGAUUGAGUAAGAGGAGGAAUGUGGGGAGUUAGACGCCGAUUUGUCUAGAGGAGUAGUUAAGUAGCUUUAAUUCGUCAUUAUAGCCGUUGCAGGCGUUAUACAGAUGAGAUAGGAAAACAGUGAGUUCUGGAAGGUCUUCUGUAGACGUCAUAACAAAAUUAGGUUGGAGUAAGAAGAUGGCAAAACAAAUCGGUCAUUAAAGUUAAAGGGUCUAUUACGCAGCACAAAUUCGUGGCCCAACAACUUAACAUCCAUGUUGACAUGGACAAAUGAUUGGUUGCGAAUGUUUUACUAACGUGGACACCUUA